rnacentral:rRNA from 1 species
GUAUACGGCCAUGCCACCCUGAACAAGCAUGAUCCCGUCUGACCCUGGAAACUAAGCAGGGUCGGGCCUGGCCAGUACUUGGAUGGGAGACCACCUAGGAAGACCAGGUGCUGUAGGCA